rnacentral:lncRNA from 1 species
GCUCUUAAGUUAUUAUAAUUAUUGUACUCUCUCUCUCUCUCUUUCUCUCUCUCUCUCUCUCUCUAUAUAUAUAUAUAUAUAUAUAUAUAUAUGGGAGGGUUAUCUUGAGAAAGCUAAAUAUUACGAGAACCGUGAGAACGAAUGAAAAAACCAAUCAAACCGAUUUUUUUUAAUACAAACCUCAUUAAUUAAAAUACAACAUCAAAAAAGAAUUUACAACAUCAUUUAAUUCAUUUCUCUUCUCAAAAUCACUCUUACUAGAUUUUUUACGCAUGUGUAAAUAUAACAAAUUUACACAUGUGUAAAUUACAAACUUACACAUGUGUAAAAUUUCAUUUAUUUACGAAUUCACGUAAAUUUAAACGUGUAAAUUUAAUUUCUAACAUUACGUGACUAAAUGAAUGCUUGUUGAUUGUGUUUACACGUGAAAUGCUGUCUACCUGCCUUAACGACGUAGUACUAUAGUUUGGACUCAGCACCCCUUCACACGGGGGUUGUUAAGGAGAAUUACUUGCAUGGAUUACGAUGGUAAUCAUGUACUGCGAACUGUCUCGGACAGUCAACCCGCAGUCAUUGGUAUCGAUAGAUCCAUGUCGAUAAUUAACAUGCUUCGUUUUCCUCUGUGUGUUUAAGAUGUUUGCUUGCUAGGAAAGCGAGGCUAGAAUAAAGCAUCUAGAGCCCCUAACAAAUAGUUGUCUGAAGUCAACAUUGUAUUCGAACAAUAAUGAGAAGUGUAAAAAGAAAUUUUGAAUUUGAAUUGUUU